rnacentral:rRNA from 1 species
UACGUAGGGUGCAAGCGUUGUCCGGAAUUAUUGGGCGUAAAGAGCUCGUAGGCGGUCUGUCGCGUCGGUUGUGAAAACCCAAGGCUCAACCUUGGGCCUGCAAUCGAUACGGGCAGACUAGAGUACUGCAGGGGAGACUGGAAUUCCUGGUGUAGCGGUGGAAUGCGCAGAUAUCAGGAGGAACACCGGUGGCGAAGGCGGGUCUCUGGGCAGUAACUGACGCUGAGGAGCGAAAGCGUGGGGAGCGAACAGG